UUGUACAAAAAGUUAUCAGUGAUUUACUGAAGGCGGGUAAUGCUGUGUUCUGGGGCAGUGUAAAUUGCAAGUACCAAAUGCGAUUUACAAGUCAUGACACCUGCGACUUGCCUGGACAGAUUACAAAACGCAAGUUUCAGCCAUUUUUAACACAUUUGGAGCUAUGGAGCUCGGAUUUGGGCGAUUUCAAAGGGGUUUUUCACGAUUUCGACUUGGAUUUGAAGCUUCGGACGAAUUCGCGAUGCAAAGGCUUGUUGGAAUUUUGAAUUGGUAGCAAAGCGAGGUACACUUUUCCUGAACUAUACCCAAUGUAAGGUCGAGUUUAAAGAUGGAAAUGAAAAACAAAGUUGAAAGAAUGAUCAUACUGUUAUUUGUAGUAUUUCUAUGUGAUUGGUUGCCUUAGUUACUUGAUUCAUUAUGUAUGCUAGUUAGUUUUUUUUCUCCUCAAUAGUUGAGUACUUUGAGUUGUAGUUGGUUUGGGACUGUUGAAGUGCUGCAACAUUAGACUCAUUUGAGCAUUUGAGUUUUAGUUUUAAUCUUGGUUAAAAUAGGUGUGCUUGUUUGGUGACGAUUUUUGAGUUGGAAUAAUUAUGAGGAUAAGUAUAAGUUGGGGACAAAUCGAGUAGUGUGCAGUCUGUAUUUUCAACCAAGCCUGUUAGUUA